AGGCCAACCGCUGGCGGCGUGCCUAAUACAUGCAAGUCGAGCGGACCGACGGGAGCUUGCUCCCUUAGGUCAGCGGCGGACGGGUGAGUAACACGUGGGUAACCUGCCUGUAAGACUGGGAUAACUCCGGGAAACCGGGGCUAAUACCGGAUGCUUGAUUGAACCGCAUGGUUCAAUCAUAAAAGGUGGCUUUUAGCUACCACUUCCAGAUGGACCCGCGGCGCAUUAGCUAGUUGCUGACCCAACCACUCACCAAGGCGACGAUGCGUAGCCGACCUGAGAGGGUGAUCGGCCACUCUGCCCCUUCACUCCUCCCAGAUUCUUACGCGAGGCAUCAUCAGUGUUCCUUCCUCUCCUCCACAUCCUCCCCCGCACCCCCUCCUCCUCUUCCUCGUGGGGGCUCAAGUUA
rnacentral:rRNA from 1 species